rnacentral:rRNA from 1 species
CCUACGGGAGGCAGCAGUGGGGGAUAUUGCACAAUGGGGGAAACCCUGAUGCAGCGACGCCGCGUGAGUGAAGGAGUAUUUCGGUAUGUAAAGCUCUAUCAGCAGGGAAGAAAAUGACGGUACCUGACUAAGAAGCCCCGGCUAACUACGUGCCAGCAGCCGCGGUAAUACGUGGGGGGCAAGCGUUAUCCGGAUUUACUGGGUGUAAAGGGGGCGUAGACGGCAGAGCAAGUCAGGAGUGAAAUGCCGGGGCUUAACCCCGGAACUGCUUUGGGAACUGUAUGGCUGGAGUGCAGGAGGGGUAAGGGGAAUUCCUAGUGGAGCGGGGAAAUGCGUAGAUAUUAGGAGGAACACCAGUGGCGAAGGCGGCUUGCUGGACUGUAACUGACGUUGAGGCCCGAAGGCGUGGGGAGCAAACAGGAUUAGAUACCCCGGUAGUC